UACGUAGGGAGCAAGCGUUGUUCGGAUUCACUGGGCUUAAAGGGUGCGUAGGCGGCCAUGUAAGUAGGGUGUGAAAUCCCCCGGCUUAACCGGGGAACUGCGCCCUAAACUGUGUGGCUUGAGUGAGAUAGGGGUGUGUGGAACUUCCGGUGGAGCGGUGAAAUGUGUUGAUAUCGGAAGGAACGCCGGUGGCGAAAGCGACACACUGGGUCUCAACUGACGCUGAGGCACGAAAGCCAGGGGAGCGAACGGG
rnacentral:rRNA from 1 species